AGGGAUGACACCCCACACCUGAGGUAUUCGCUACAGUUACACUAACUCAGUCUAGGGUGACAAAAACCUUAUUCUAUUUUCCGUCGGCGUCCAACGAUGCCAAGACAGGUGAAAUUGUCAUUAUUUAGUAUGGUUAUGACGACUCGCUUAGAGGAAUUAACGUUAUGAAGUUUACGGAAGACCUUUUUUUUUACAGGCAACAUCGGGUUGUCUGGGAACAUUCUCUUUACAUGCUCUUACGUUCUCUCUACAUUCUCUUUACCUUUUUAGUCAAAUAAACAAUAACAUACAUGCAUUAAUACAAGAUCUAACACAAACACACUAAACAGUUUUCAGAAAAUAUCGGAUUUUCUGGUGGUUUUCAAAGUUAUACAAAUCAUUUUCACAAACAUGCUUAUGAACUCACCAACAUUUUUAUGUUGACCGUUUUCAAAAUAACUUGUAUUCUCAGGAAAUCGUUGAUGCAGGAUGAACAACACAAACUAAUGGAUACUAUGUUAUAUUUUAUUUCAUCAUACUCUUACUAUUUUGGCAUGUAAUAUUCAAAUACAAUGCUCGAUGUAAACAAUGAAAGUUGUAAUAUUACAUGUGUGAUGAUGAUGAUGUUAUGUUUCAAUUAUAUUCACUGUAAUGAUAUUUCAAGAUGAAGUCACGCACAAGCCCUCGGACGUUUCCGCCGUCUGGUUCGGGGUGUGACAGAUUGGUAUCGGAGCAUUGUUUAUAGUGAACUAGCAUAUCUAAUCAUACAGGAUAUGCAACUAUAAGUACAAUGGGACUAAAUAACUCUGAACAUAAUAAUUAAAAUACAUACCUUUGUGUGCAUUUUAGAAUAAUAACAUAACAAGAAUAAUAAAAGUCUUUGGAGGAUUUGGACAUCGCUAUUAAACUCGGGCAGUUAUGUAGUCGUAUUGGGGGUGAAUGUAGCCUGAUCAACUACAUUCAUUCAAAAUACGACCAACAUGUGUUCGGGAGUAAUUGUGAUGGACAAUGAAUCAAAAACUUACCAUUUAAUUAUCCAAAGAGCUUAUAGAACCAAACCUAAACAUAAUUAAAUUACUAUAGGAGUAAUUGGUAUGCUAUUUGUUUAUAGUAUUCAUAGCCCUUCGUGCAAUAUACUAUAGACGAGUAUCAUUAGCCAGGAAACCCCUACCUCCCUAGUCAGGGAAUAACAGGGUGGCUCGACCUAGAGGAGGAACACGAAGUAGAACUCACAGAUGGACCCGUCGAGUCAAUAGUGGACCUCGAAGAGGAAGAGCCAGAGGGCAAUGGUGAUGAUGACUCGGAUGUAGAAUCUAAUGUCAUCAAUCCCCCAUGUAAAGCGAGAGCACCAACUUAUCGUGUGGGCCCCGGUGGUCCCAUGCCCCCUUGGGCAUAUGAUAUUUGGAGAUAGAGUCACCAGCAGGGGAUACGACCACACUAGGGUAGGAACCGAGGUCUCUCCGACCAUUAGCCAUAGAGGACUAGCUGACCGGGCCCUCCCAGUCAUGGUCCGGUGCACCUGAGGUAUUGAUAACCAAGCUCAGGACACCCCAAAUCAAACGGAACAACUGCGGUUGGCUAUUGAGAGAGACAAGAGACAAACACAGGAAGUGAACGGAGACUCCCGACCGAGACAGUUAGUUUGAGAGGUACGACUACGAGAUACCGAGCAACAAGUAGCCCGUCUCCGAGGUGCAUCCACUUCAUCAGCACUACCACCAUACACUUCCCGCCACAAUUAGGAUCAGCCUUUUCCACUCCCCCUACUAUCCGAUAUGACUCUCUUUCGUAUACUAAGAUGGUACUUAACGAUCUCGAAACCGAAACAAUCCAUAUCUUCUGAGGGUAGACGUAACGAUCGGCCAAAUCUGNAACGAUCGUGCCAAAUCUGAGAUUACCUACUACCGUAAAUACAUCAUAGGGAUGUAGAUGGAAGCAGUAAGAAUUAUACAACAAGAUGCAAAAUUUCUAAAGUACAAUGAGGAAUGACUAUCAUUACUUACGAUCUGGCUUAUCAACAUGCAACAGGAAAAUGCCACCCCGCAAGUAUAACAAGUGCACCCGCAAGACACCGCUCCUAUAGAUGGACUCUACUAUGUUCUGAGCUGUUGUAACGGCGGCAGUAACCGCUGCGAUGGCGCAAAUCAAUGCAAACAACCCCAAUGAAGGCGGGAAUAGCAUUGACAACUCCACCCAAAGGAACGAACAUGGAAACCAACAAGUGACAACCUAUCAAGGAACUCGAAACCCUAAGCUUAAGAGCAGGAAGCUGAGGUCUGGAAAUAAGAGAAAGGGACAACCCACUCAAGGGUUCUCAAGGAAGCAACCUGUUGUUGCUAUUCAUGUGACCAUGACCCCUAUUAUCCCAGCAACCAGGAGACCAUAUGCUGGAAGCCUUCCAAAAUGCAACCAGUGCAAAUUCCAUCAUAAUGGAGCCUGCCGGGAGAUGCAUUGUAACAAAUGCAACUGAAAGAAUCACACUGCCAAAUUCUAUAGAACUUAUCCAUAUCAGAAUCGUCAGCCAAAUGAAAACGAAAACAAUCGCAACAACCCUAAAAACAACACCAAUGAUGAGACUAGUCACACCUGCUAUGGGUAUGGAGGAAUCGGUCACUUUAGGCGUAAUUGCCCCAAGGAUAACAAUCAAGGAGCAGAAGGAUCGGAAAUGGUCCUGACCUUGGGUGAAGGCGAAGCAGUCCAAGACCCAACGAUUGUUAUUGGUACGUUCCCACUUAACAACUAUUUCGCUUACCUCUGAUUCAAUAGUGAAGCUGAGCAGAGCUUCGUUAGUAACAAAUCCAAACGCUUACUAAAACAACCCCAAAGCUAAGCUAAGCCUUUACGGUGGACAUGGCCAAUGGGGAAAAACCGAAGUAACCUAGGAUAUUUUUGUGGAGUACACCUAAACACUAAACAAUCAUUCAUUUCAAAUAAAAUUUAAUGCCAAUAAAGAUUAGGAGUUUUGAUGUGAUAAUUGGCAUGGUUGGGUUAAGCCCCCACCGUGCUGAUACUAUGUGUCGCGAGAAGGCCAUUUGCCUUCACCUCCCGAUCACGAAACUCUAAUAACACAUGGUGAUAAACCUAACGUCAAUCCUCGUCAUAUCUCGUGCAUCAAGGCACAGAAGUUCCUGCACCAGAAGAACUACGUUUUCCUCACUCUUGUUGUGGACAAGACCAAGGAUGAAGUAAGCAUACAAGGUAUUCCAGUAGUAUGCGAUUUCUCGGAUGUGUUUCCGAAGAACUUUCGAGAAUAUCCCAGGGAGACAUGUCGAGUUUCGAAUUGACCUCAUACCGGGAACCACAUCAAUUGCCGAUUCACCCUAUUGGUCAGCUUUCGCCGAAAUUCUGGAGUUGACUAGUCAAUUAAGAAAUUUUUUGAGCAAAGGAUUCAUCGGAUCAAGCUUCUCACCCUGGAGAGCUUCGAUCUUGUUCUUCAAGAAGACAGAUCCUUUAAAAGGUACAUCGAUCUUAGGAAAUUGAAUAAGCUCCCUAUCAAAAAUUGAUACCCACUCCCUCAGACUGACGAUCUAUUUGGCUAGCCCCAAGGUGCUAGUUACUUCUCUAAAAUAGAUCUAAGAACCGGUUAUCAUCAACUUUGAGCCCAAGAAGACGACAUUCAAAAAAAAAAAAACUGCCUUCCAAACUCAUUGCGACCAUUUCAAAUUCGUUGUGAUACCCUUCGGUCUAAUGAAUGCUCCCACAGUAUUCAUGGACCCUACGAAGCAAGUUUUCUCAAUCACUCCUAGUCAGCCUUUUCAUUGUUUUCAUCAAUAACAUACUCGUCUGCCCACAAAGCGAGAACGAAACACUAUCAUCAUCUACGAACAGCCUUGAAGGCAUCAAAGCCGGAGAAUAUCAUGAAGAAAACACUACAUGGAUGGAUAAAACUCUUGAAGUUGAGGGACGAACUUAUAGUUACGCGAGUUGAGAUGGGCAUUAUCUGGGUGAUCGUCGAUAGGUUAACACAAUCCGCCUAUUUCCUGCCAAUACAGAAAUCAAACAAGACGGGAAGUUUAGCAUGGAUCUAUAUCCAAGAGAUUGUGAGACUCCAUGAAAUAUCGGUAUCUUUUAUCUCGAAUCGAGAUAACGGAAUUACUUCAAGAUUUUGACAGUCACUUCAGAAGGCUAUGGGAACAUAGCUAGACACGAGCGUUGUUUACUACUCUCAAACCAAUAGCGAAAGCAAACGGACCAUUCAACCAUUCGAAUUCAUGCGACAAGUCUGGGUGUUUGAAUUCAGCAAGUCAUGGGAUACCCGGUUGCCCUUGAUUGAAUUCUCAUACAAUAACAACUAUCGCACGAGCAUCAAGAUUGCUCCUUUCGAAACUCUUUAUAGUCAUAAAUGCAGAUCACUCGCUAGUACUCUCAUGACACCAGAAACCAGUUGCGAAACUACAGAGAAGAUAAUCCAAAUCAAAGCUUGACUUCAAGCAUCGAGAGACCGACAGAAGAGCUAUUCUGACAAGCGGCGUAAGCCAUUAGGAUGUCAAGUCGGGGAUCUCGUGUUACUAAAGGAAUCUCCUCGGAAAGGAAUGAUUUGCUUUAGGAACCGAGAAAACUAAACCCGUGAUACAUUGGACCGUUCGAUAUCCUUACUCAGAUUGUUCCGAAAGCUUGCAGGCUACAGCUGCUUGUAGAGCUCAGCAAUGUACACCCCGAGUCCCACGCCUCAAAUUGGAAAAAGUGCCUAUCAGGCAAAACCCUUAACAUUCCUUUAAGAGAGAUCAAACUAAACAAGAAUCUCCUUUUCGUCGAAGAAUCUGUCGAUGUAUUGGGUAAGGAAGUAAAGCGUACAAAACAAAACCGCAUUCUGAUUGUGAAGGUUCGAUGGAACGCCAAGCGUAGCUCGGAAUUCACAUUUGAACGCAAAGACCAGAUGAAGCAGAAGUACCCUCACCUAUUCUAUCAUUCAUGAACCUACCAUUCGAAAGAAUUUUGGGACGAAAUUCCCUCUAAUGGGGGGAUGAUGUCACAACUAGCAUUUUUGCUUGGAAAUUCUACUCUCAUGCAAUCAUUAACCUAGUGUAAUAACUUGUACUCUAAGUGAAUACUAUACUUCAUUCUCAUUCAAAUAUAUCUCAUAUGCUCAAAUAAGGGUUGGAAACCCUAGAUAUCCCAUUUCAAAUUCAUUAUCAACUAGGAUUCUUUUAUUGGGCCUAAGGGACCAAUAAGUCAUCAACUCAUCAAUCUAUAACAUUUUGGGCCAUUUGAGCCUAGAUUGAUUCAUUCUAUCUCUAAUGGACCAUGAUGGGCCAUAAAUGAAUUAACAAACCCUAAUGGGCCAUAAACCCAUUUAUCUAUACCAUAUUGGGCCGUGAGCCUCCUUAAGAGCCCAAUGGACCGAAAAAUAAUUUUUGGGCUCCAUAAAAGUCCGAACAAGCCGAGAAUGAGUCCAAAACCAAUUCAUCUUCAUAUCUUCUAAGCCCAUUUCGGCCCAUUUACUAAACAAAAAGAAAAAGGGGAGAAAUCAAGUUAAAUUGUAGGCAUGACACCUAAUUAUUGUUUAAUGGUAAUCUAGGCUAGAAACUCAUGACCAUCAUGCAAUAACCCAAAAAUCAAUCUUUCCUCUCCUUCCUUAUCCUCUUGGCCGAGACCACCACCCCACCACUUUCAUUCCUUCUUUCAAACACUCUCAUAAACCUUCUCAAGAACUACUCUUCUCUCUUCAAAAUUUUGUGACUUUGGUGGGGUGUUUCAAGCAAAAAUNCCAAGGUGAGUUCAUACCCCUUGUUUUCUGUUUUUAUAUGAUUUUUGGGGGAGAAUACAAGUUGCUUUGUGUAGAUCUAUGUGUAUAUGCAUGUCUAUGUGUGUUUUCCAUGAAUUAUUUGGUGAUUAUGUGUUGAUUUCUUCACUAAUCUAAAAAUAUGUUAAGAAACUUGAAGUUUAUCACUAGGAUCUUCAUAUGAAUCUUGAGAAAAGUAUGUUUUAUCACAAGUAUUACAUGUAAACAUGUAGAUCUGGGAUUUGUAUACUUGAUAUAGCAAAAAUAAGUGUUGUGUUCAAAGAUCUAUAAACUAAACUCACAAAACAGCCCUUGACAGAAAACUUUUGGUCCAAUCUCGGACUGUUUUGACCAUCCAAAUGGAAGUAUUUUUCAAAACUGUUUUACAUGGAUAAAGUUCAGAUUUAUACCUUUAAAAUGACUACUCUCACGUUUUCAUACGAUUUUUCUACAAUUUUUGGCGAAUUUUACAAAACUGCCUAUCAUAUUUGAAAUAAUUUCGGACCAACCUGUGAAGAUGAGUAAUUUCACACUAGUUUGAAGCCAUCAAAAAUUAUGAGAAAAAUUGUGAACAAAGUAGACAAAAUUUCCAAACUUCCAAAAUUUACGGAUCCAGAUUUCGACUUACGAUGAAUUUUCUACAAAUUUUCUAAAAACUAGUUCGGAAAAGCCAAAAACCAGAAAAAUAUGUAUUUUCACAAAACCAAGCCAAAAAUGAUAUUUUUGACAAAAAUGGGUUUAAAAUGCUAUUUUUAUCACAAAGUAGUCAUCAACACAAGUUUUUAACAAAAUUGGAGAUUAAAGUGUUAUUCUUACAAAAAUUGGGCCUUAAUUGUAAAUUUUUGGCUUAUUGGGCCAAGAAUGUCAUUUUUACAAAAAGUGGGCUUUAGAUAUCAAUUAUGUAAAUAAUCAAGCUAAAAUAAACAAAACAAUAACAAACGGGUUAAAAACGACAUUCAUAUCCUUAUUGGGCCUGGAAAUAAUAUACAUGUUUAGUGGGCCUUAGUGUCCUUUUACAUGCAUAUUGGGCUUGGAUAGGUAUUCAUAUCCUUAUUGGGCCUGGAAAUAAUAUACUUGUUUAGUGGGCCUUAGUGUCAUUUUUCAUGUAUAUUGGGCUUAGGAUAGAGAUUCACAUUCCUUUUGAGCCUGGAAAUAAUAGACACGUAUAGUGGGCCUUAGUGGUCCACUUACAUGUUUAUUGGGCCUAGGAAUGGGUUUUAUAUGCGUUAUUCUUUUUAUGCUAUUUUAGUGGAUACUAUUUGCAUGCUAUUUGGGUCUAUAAAUACCUUACAUGUGAAAUGGGCCUUAGUUGUCCUUUCACAUAUAUUUUGGGCCCAUGUUAUAUAAUCUCAUUCCCUUUAGGUCUUGAAAUGAUUUACAUGUUUAGCGAUGCCUUAGUGGUUCACUUACAUGGAUCAUUGGUCCUAGAAUGAGUUUAUACAUUUUUCUUCGCGUAAAUUCGAUUAAGGAUCUAGCGAGUUUUUAUCGGUUGGCACCUAUUAAGUGUACGAUCGUAGCCUGUAGUUAUAACUAGAGUCUCUUGGAGGGAGAGCGGGGAUUUGUGUAUAGAUCUAUACAGGGAUGACACCCCACACCUAAGGUAUUCGCUACAGUUACACUAACUCAGUCUAGGGUGACAAAAACCUUAUUCUAUUUUCCGUCGGCGUCCAACGAUGCCAAGACAGGUGAAAUUGUCAUAAAUUAGUUUGGUUAUGACGGCUCGCUUAGAGGAAUUAACGUUAUGAAGUUUACGGAAGACCUUUCUAUUUAGGAAACAUCGGGUUGUCUGGGAACAUUCUCGUUACAUGCUCUUACAUUCUCUCUACAUUCUAUUUACCUUUUUAGUCAAAUAACAAUAACAUACAUGCAUUAAUACAAGAUCUAACACAAACACACUAAACAGUUUUCAGAAAAUAUCGGAUUUUCUGGUGGUUUUCAAAGUUAUACAAAUCAUUUUCACAAACAUGCUUAUGAACUCACCAACAUUUUUAUGUUGACCGUUUUCAAAAUAACUUGUAUUCUCAGGAAAUCCUUGAAGCAGGAUGAACAAAACAAUAUAAUGGAUACUGUAUUAUAUUUUGUUUCAUCAUACUCUUACUAUUUUGGCAUGUAAUAUUCAAAUACAAUGCUCGAUGUAAACAAUGAAUGUUGUAAUAUUACAUGUGUGAUGAUGAUGAUGUUAUGUUUCAAUUAUAUUCACUAUAAUGAUAUUUCAAGAUGAAGUCACGCACAAGCCCCCGG
rnacentral:lncRNA from 1 species